GUUCGUUUCAGAAACUCCCAGCCUGCAGGACUCAGGAGUCAUGGGGCUGGCAGAUGCAGGUUGCAUAAAGUGUACGCAGAAGAGGUCAUGCCCCCAAGGACGUGAGGGAGCACAGACACAUGUAAGGAGCUAGAGUCCUCUGCCCUGGCUGUUGCUGGUCAUUCUCCGUACCAUUCUGCUGAGCAGCUUCCAGGCAGCUGUCGUCACUGUGAUAUCCAGUGUGGGUAUCUCAACCUGGUAAUCUCAGAAGAAGAUUACGAUAAUAUAAUACUAAC
rnacentral:lncRNA from 1 species